rnacentral:piRNA from 1 species
UCACUUUUAUAGGUGUCAAAUCUCCCCCA